rnacentral:tRNA from 2 species
GGGGGCGUGGUGUAGCCUGGACGAACACACCUCCCUGUCACGGAGGAGAUCGCGGGUUCAAAUCCCGUCGCUCCCGCCA